rnacentral:lncRNA from 1 species
AUGGAUUUGCCACCUGCCCAUGGCAGAUCUAGAGCGGCUGGGAGUUAAUCCAAAGCAAUGCCCUCCUCCAACAGAGGAAACUAUCCAUGCGACAGUUUUGGAGAUUUUGCUUGCAAACUGGACAUUGACAGGUGGUGGUGAGAAAAGGAGAAAGAAGAGAGGGAGAGAAAUGAUUUUAAAGAACUGGCUUAUGCAACCAUGGGGCUGGAAACUCAGGUGGGAAUCGAUGUUCUUUUCAUGAUGCCCAAACUCAGAGAGCAAGACUCCAUCUGGAAGUUCUGAUAGGACUUCUGUGUUGCAGGUGUUAGGUAAAGCUUCUGUUUCCUUAGGAAUCUUCAGUGUGUGCACCAGACAGUCAGUGUAUGCUUAUUGGAUGAGGUACUCUUUUAGGUGAAUGGAAAUGUCUUCUACUUAGCACAUACUUCCCCAAAGGCUAACUAACUAUAUCUAUCUAAAAUAUGCUUUCAGAGAGAAUAGCAUCUAAUCUAGUGUUUUGAUAAACAAGUGAACACUAUAGUCCAGUGAUCUUGAUACUUAACAAUAUCCUUUACCAUCGGGAACUCUCAAAAAAAUGUGGAAUUGGAACCAGAAACCAGUCAGUCUUCUUAGGAUUUCUAGCCUUCUUUCUGUUAUUGGGUUCCAGUUCGAUUCUGUUGUGAUCUAUAUGAGAGAAGAUGUAUGAUUUAUAUUCUCUUAAAUGUGUCAGGGGUGUUUUAUGGCCCCAAAUGUGGUCUAUGUCUCAUGUGAGCUGAAGAAUAUGUAUUCUGCUCUUGUUGGAUGAACUACUCCACAGAUGUCAAUUACACCCAGCUGAUUGAUGGUGCUGUUGAGUUCAAUUAUGACCCUACAGACUUUCUGCCUGCUGGAUCUGACCACUUCUGAGAAGAGGAGUGUUAAGACAUCUCCAAGGAAACAAUGGCCUCUCCUGUUUCUCCUUACAGUUCUAUGGGCUUCUGUCUCAUGUUUUGAUACUCCUCUAUUGUUCGGCACACACGUUAAGAAUUAUUAUGUCUCCUUGGUUCAGAGAUUGCCU